rnacentral:rRNA from 1 species
UACAGAGGGUGCAAGCGUUGUUCGGAAUUAUUGGGCGUAAAGGGCGCGUAGGCGGUGCUGUAAGUCUGUGGUGAAAUCUCUGGCUCAACUCAGAGUCUGCCAUAGAAACUGCAGUGCUGGAGUGUGGGAGAGGUGAGUGGAAUUCCCGGUGUAGCGGUGAAAUGCGCAGAUAUCGGGAGGAACACCAAUGGCGAAGGCAGCUCGCUGGGACGUUACUGACGCUGAGACGCGAAAGCGUGGGGAGCAAACAGG